rnacentral:rRNA from 1 species
AUACGUAGGGGGCGAGCGUUAUCCGGAAUUAUUGGGCGUAAAGAGUGCGUAGGUGGCCAUGUAAGCGCGGGGUGAAAGGCAAUAGCUUAACUAUUGUAAGCCUUGCGAACUGCAUGGCUUGAGUGCAGGAGAGGAAAGUGGAAUUCCUAGUGUAGCGGUGAAAUGCGUAGAUAUUAGGAGGAACACCAGUGGCGAAGGCGACUUUCUGGACUGUAGCUGACACUGAGGCACGAAAGCGUGGGGAGCAAACAGGAUUAGAUACCCUGGUAGUCCACGCCGUAAACGAUGAGCACUAGGUGUCGGGGUCGCAAGACUUCGGUGCCGCAGUUAACGCAUUAAGUGCUCCGCCUGGGGAGUACGCACGCAAGUGUAAAACUCAAGGGAAUUGGCGGGG